UCCUCCAAGGCUAAAUACUCCUGACUGACCGAUAGUGAACCAGUACCGUGAGGGAAAGGCGAAAAGAACCCCGGCGAGGGGAGUGAAAAAGAACCUGAAACCGUGUACGUACAAGCAGUGGGAGCACGCUUAGGCGUGUGACUGCGUACCUUUUGUAUAAUGGGUCAGCGACUUAUAUUCUGUAGCAAGGUUAACCGAAUAGGGGAGCCGAAGGGAAACCGAGUCUUAACUGGGCGUUAAGUUGCAGGGUAUAGACCCGAAACCCGGUGAUCUAGCCAUGGGCAGGUUGAAGGUUGGGUAACACUAACUGGAGGACCGAACCGACUAAUGUUGAAAAAUUAGCGGAUGACUUGUGGCUGGGGGUGAAAGGCCAAUCAAACCGGGAGAUAGCUGGUUCUCCCCGAAAGCUAUUUAGGUAGCGCCUCGUGAAUUCAUCUCCGGGGGUAGAGCACUGUUUCGGCAAGGGGGUCAUCCCGACUUACCAACCCGAUGCAAACUGCGAAUACCGGAGAAUGUUAUCACGGGAGACACACGGCGGGUGCUAACGUCCGUCGUGAAGAGGGAAACAACCCAGACCGCCAGCUAAGGUCCCAAAGUCAUGGUUAAGUGGGAAACGAUGUGGGAAGGCCCAGACAGCCAGGAUGUUGGCUUAGAAGCAGCCAUCAUUUAAAGAAAGCGUAAUAGCUCACUGGUCGAGUCGGCCUGCGCGGAAGAUGUAACGGGGCUAAACCAUGCACCGAAGCUGCGGCAGCGACGCUUAUGCGUUGUUGGGUAGGGGAGCGUUCUGUAAGCCUGCGAAGGUGUGCUGUGAGGCAUGCUGGAGGUAUCAGAAGUGCGAAUGCUGACAUAAGUAACGAUAAAGCGGGUGAAAAGCCCGCUCGCCGGAAGACCAAGGGUUCCUGUCCAACGUUAAUCGGGGCAGGGUGAGUCGACCCCUAAGGCGAGGCCGAAAGGCGUAGUCGAUGGGAAACAGGUUAAUAUUCCUGUACUUGGUGUUACUGCGAAGGGGGGACGGAGAAGGCUAUGUUGGCCGGGCGACGGUUGUCCCGGUUUAAGCGUGUAGGCUGGUUUUCCAGGCAAAUCCGGAAAAUCAAGGCUGAGGCGUGAUGACGAGGCACUACGGUGCUGAAGCAACAAAUGCCCUGCUUCCAGGAAAAGCCUCUAAGCAUCAGGUAACAUCAAAUCGUACCCCAAACCGACACAGGUGGUCAGGUAGAGAAUACCAAGGCGCUUGAGAGAACUCGGGUGAAGGAACUAGGCAAAAUGGUGCCGUAACUUCGGGAGAAGGCACGCUGAUAUGUAGGUGAAGUCCCU
rnacentral:rRNA from 1 species